rnacentral:rRNA from 1 species
UGGGGAAUUUUGCACAAUGGAGGAAACUCUGAUGCAGCGACGCCGCGUGAGUGAUGAAGAUCUUCGGAUUGUAAAACUCUGUCCUUAGUGAAGAUAAUGACAGUAACUAAGAAGCAAGCCCUGGCUAAAUACGUGCCAGCAGCCGCGGUAAUACGUAUGGGGCAAGCGUUGUCCGGAAUUAUUGGGCGUAAAGGGUACGUAGGCGGUUUAAUAAGUCCUAAUUAAAAGGCUAUGGCUCAACCAUAGUAUGGUUAGGAAACUGUUGAACUUGAGUAGAUGAGGGGAAAGUGGAAUUCCAUGUGUAGCGGUGAAAUGCGUAGAUAUAUGGAGGAACACCAAUGUCGAAGGCAACUUUCUGGAAUCAAACUGACGCUGAGGUACGAAGGCGUGGGGAGCAAACAGG